GGGAACAUAGCUUAGCUGGUUAGAGCAUUGGCUUGUCACGCCAAAGGCCACGGGUUCAAGUCCCGUUGUUCUCG
rnacentral:tRNA from 1 species